rnacentral:rRNA from 1 species
UUUUGAGAGUGGCGCACGGGUGCGUAACGCGUAUGCAACCUACCUUUUACAGGGGGAUAGCCCGGGGAAACCCGGAUUAAUACCCCAUGGUAUUAUUGAUCUGCAUGGGUUGAUAAUUAAAGAUUUAUCGGUAAGAGAUGGGCAUGCGUAGGAUUAGCUAGUUGGUAGGGUAACGGCCUACCAAGGCGACGAUCCUUAGGGGUUCUGAGAGGAAGGUCCCCCACACUGGCACUGAGAUACGGGCCAGACUCCUACGGGAGGCAGCAGUAGGGAAUAUUGGGCAAUGGUCGGAAGACUGACCCAGCCAUGCCGCGUGCAGGAAGACGGCCUUACGGGUUGUAAACUGCUUUUAUCAGGGAAGAAAAAGGCCAUGCGUGGCAAAUUGCCGGUACCUGAUGAAUAAGCACCGGCUAACUCCGUGCCAGCAGCCGCGGUAAUACGGAGGGUGCAAGCGUUGUCCGGAUUUAUUGGGUUUAAAGGGUGCGUAGGCGGCUUUAUAAGUCAGCGGUGAAAGUUUCAGGCUCAACCUGGAAAUUGCCAUUGAUACUGUAUAGCUUGAGUGCGUUCUGGGUACAUGGAAUUUAUGGUGUAGCGGUGAAAUGCAUAGAUACCAUAAGGAACACCGAUAGCGUAGGCAUUGUACUGGGACGUAACUGACGCUGAUGCACGAAAGCAUGGGUAGCGAACAGGAUUAGAUACCCUGGUAGUCCAUGCCGUAAACGAUGAUCACUCGCUGUCAUGCCUUUAUGGUGUGGUGGCCAAGCGAAAGCGUUAAGUGAUCCACCUGGGGAGUACGCCGGCAACGGUGAAACUCAAAGGAAUUGACGGGGGUCC